UACGGGGGGGGUAAGCGUUGUUCGGAAUUACUGGGCGUAAAGGGCUCGUAGGCGGCCAACUAAGUCAGACGUGAAAUCCCUCGGCUUAACCGGGGAACUGCAUCUGAUACUGGAUGGCUUGAGUUCGGGAGAGGGAUGCGGAAUUCCAGGUGUAGCGGUGAAAUGCGUAGAUAUCUGGAGGAACACCGGUGGCGAAGGCGGGACUCUGGGCCGAUACUGACGCUGAGGAGCGAAAGCGUGGGGAGCGAACAGG
rnacentral:rRNA from 1 species